AUGAUCAAGGGCUGGAAGCUAGGAGAUCAAAGCCUGGUUUCUUCUCUUAGUCCCACCUCAGCUCUGCCUAUGAAGCCAUCCCUCCAUCUGACCUCCAAAGAGCAGCCUUUGUUCAUUCCAUGCAGAUGUCCUGAAUGCACACCCUGUGCAAAGGGGCGUAAACUGAGCACUUGUGGUUUCAUCCAGUUCUGGAAGAAGUGGCUGUGCAAUGGAAGGAGCCACUGUGAAUCACCAGAGUGGGGGGAAAAAAUGCAGAUUGAAAUAAACAGAGAGGCAACUGGAAAUGACGAGCAUGAGCAGGCGAUGACUAAGGGACAGAUCAGUGCGUCAGACAAGGAGCUCUUAUGGAGGUGGCUUGGAGGUGGGCAGGAGACCGGAAGAAAGAGCUAUCAUUACACUUUCAUGAUUGUGUGCCCACGUCCACCCAUGCAAAAAAAGGAGGCACUGGCCUAGUUCUGGGGUGACUCACGAUGGCAAGCCAAAGCUCAUACAUCAAACACAGGCCCUUUCUCACUCUGGCCUUCUGCUGGGGAAUGCAGUUCGGUGCUUCGCCACCAAAGAGGUGCAGACUGGGCAUGCGCGGCCCCAGGCAGCCGAGAAGCUUGCAGCUCUGUCCUCUGCUGCGCCACUUGUUAUUUUUAUCUGAUGCGUUCUUAGGCCAAAUCAGAUCCAGAGAGCACAGCGAGGUUUCUAAAUUCAGAGCUCUGCUCUUCUGUCUCCCUUUCUCCCUCUCUACUGACAUCCUCUUUUAUCAAAUCGGCUGAAGACCACAGCAUCUCCAACAGAGGGACACGGCACCAUUUUUUUUUUUCAUAUUCUUCAGUGGUGGCCUUUUGUGAAGACAAUGAAAAAUAAUAAUAAUGUCACCAAGAGAAGAAGAAAAAGCACAGAUUCUGAAUUUUCUCUUGCAAUAUCCAGGUCAUGAUGGCCAGUAAGAAUAUCUAUUCUGUGUGCGGUGGUCUCAUGGAAAGACAUCUGAGUGUAUGUCAGGAGGGGACAGACAAAAAGGAGUCCCUGAAGAUACCUUCCUCCAGAACUGGGAUGAGGACGGUUGGGGCCACAGCUGUUUGAGUCAGGACAGCUGUGUACGUUUCAAACAAAUGAAGAGAGGGUCACCUGGAAGGAAUCUGGCUGUCACUGUCCCAUGUAAACCACACUGCAUGGGAUGAAAUUCAGUUGCCAUCACUCCAUGAGGAAGACUUGUGCUGGAGGCAGCCCAGGAGAAAUCCAUCUGUCCAGUAGUUCUCUAAACCUUCCACAUGCUCUAGAGGUGCCUGACAGCUUCUAGAAGCUGAUUCUAUAUACAUACAGUCAACCUUCUGCAUCUGUGGAAGAAGCCACACUCACAGAUUCACCCAUCUGCAGAAAAAAAAAUAGUCAAGAAAAACUCUGCAUCUAACUAAAUGCAUGAAGAUUGUCUUUCUAUCCUGGGGUGCAGAGGGUUGAACCUAGAUAUAUGUUCUACCACUGAGCUACACCCCCAACCUCUCUGAAUAUUCCUGUCAUUCCCUGAACGACACAGCAUAACAACUCAUUGCAUGUUUGUUGUGCAUUGGGUAAUCUAGAGUUGAUUUAGAGCACACAGAAGGAUGUGUACAAGUCAUGUGCAAAUACCAUCAUUUCAAAAGACUUGCACACCUACAAAUGUGGGUCCACAAAGGAGAUCAUGGAGCCAACCAUCAGCAGCUGUGCCUUCGUUAGUUUUGCUGGGCUUCCCUGUUCCCUAAUGUUCUGGGUGUGCCAUUAUAACAUAAUUUGUGCAGAACCAGAUAUGCAAGGCACCGGCCUGCUUGUCCUUUCAAACUCCACCCUCAAAUCCUCUCCUUCUAACUACGUUAUCGCCUCUGCUAAACAGUCUCUCAGCUGCUCGCUCCUUGCCCACACCCACCACAAAUAUUUCCACUAGAGAAGAAUUCUUUUCUACUUCUUACAGAACGUAUUGCCCGCCACUGGCAUGUUUUUAUAUACCUGCCUGGUUCCCUGACAGGACAGUGGAGACUCCCAUCUCCUGCUUCAGAUAGUUACUCUAGGAUGAGGCUAACUGAACCCAGUGCUCCACCUUUGGCUUCCCAAUCCUAGCCAUUCUGAGGUUGUGUUUAGUGACUCACUCCCUCACAGGUGACCUAUUCCCCUGUCUCCCCAGAGCUAAGUCUCCUCAGCCGGUGCACAUUCUUCACAUGCAGAUCAAUGUUGAUGUGUCCUUUUUGAAUCAUAAUUACAACAACAGCAAAGAAUCUGUUAUUAUCUCUUGAUUAGGAAAGGCCAAACAUACCUGGAUCUGUGUUUGGGCUUUUCCCCUCUUCUGAAACUAUUUGCAUAUGUAAGGGGUGGGGGUGGAGCAAGGGACAUCAAAGGACAUCUGCUUGUUUGAUCUAAUUAGUCUAUUUUUUUCUUCUCUACCAAAACACUAGAAAAGGGAAAUUCCAGACAGUUCUUGAAUCUCUGUGAAGUCAGUCAGUUUCUUGGACAAGAAGACAUGAAUUUUCUUUAACACACUGGCCACCUAACAAAAAAACAAGAGGACCCAGCCUUUGACUCCAUGGUCGUUGAUAAUUUGUUUAUUGGUGUUGGUCAUGCGGCCUCUAUUCUUAUUUACAAGCAAACAACAUUAUGACCACUAGGUUCCUAGGGAGACAAACCUAAGCAGGCUGUUACAAACUCCCUGGGUAUCUGGAAACAGUGGUGUCAGGGUGCAAAGGACAUCACAACUGAGAAAAAGGACACAGUCUGCAGUGGGGUUCCUGGUAAGAGUCACUGCAAGUUCCCUUCAAGCCACAUCCUAGGGGAUGGGGGUGGGGUGCUCCAACCACAUGGGUAUGAAUGAGCUACACUUCUUUGUCAAGGAUGCAGGAUAGACACAAAGAAUACAAAGUGGCCUGUCUCUGUUACUUUCUACAGAUGGAAUGCCAGAGAAUGGGAAAGGCAUAGCAAGAGGCUUUAAGCAGGAUGUGCUAGGGACUCUGGAAAUGUCUAAGAGUACACUCCUCCAGAACAGGGGUAGAGAAGGAAGAAGAGAUAUAGAAGAGAGAGAGAAGGGGCGGG
rnacentral:lncRNA from 1 species